GAUGAACGCUAGCGGCAGGCUUAAUACAUGCAAGUCGAGGGGUAGCAAGAUCGUAGCAAUACAAUUGUUGGCGACCGGCAAACGGGUGCGGAACACGUACACAACCUUCCUACAAGUGGGGAAUAGCCCAGAGAAAUUUGGAUUAGUACCCCGUAACAUAGCGAUGUGGCAUUACAUUGCUAUUAUAGCUUCGGCGCUUGUUGAUGGGUGUGCGGCUGAUUAGAUAGUUGGCGGGGUAACGGCCCACCAAGUCUACGAAUAGUAGCUGAUGUGAGAGCAUUAUAAGCCACACGGUCAUUGAGACAUGUGCCCAAUUCCUACGUGAGGAAGCAAUAAGGAAUAUUUGACAAGGGACGAAAGUCUGAUCCAGCCAUGCCGGUUGAAGGAUUAAGGUCCUCGGGUUUGUAAACUUCUUUUAUAAGGGACUAAAAAAGGUCUUUCUAGAUCGUCUGACGGUAACUUAUGAAUAAUCAGUAUCUAACUCCGUGCCAGCAGCCGCAGUAAAAC
rnacentral:rRNA from 1 species